GAGGGUAUAGCUCAACUGGUAGAGUGAGUGUGUGUUUAGCAUGCAUGAGGUCCUGGGUUCAAUCCCCAGUACUUCCU
rnacentral:tRNA from 1 species